GCCCGCAUAGUUUAGUGGCAAAAUACAUCCCUGUCACGGAUGAGUCCCGAGUUCAAUUCUCGGUGCGGGCG
rnacentral:tRNA from 1 species